CUCAACAACAACUCRGCUUCAAGUUAGCUUCAACAGUGCGAUAGUUAGACAAAUGAAGUCAACAACUCUCGCUUACUUUUUAGUCUUGUCUUCAAUUAUAGAUGCGCAUCGCUAAGGCGUGUAUGUGUGAGAGAGAAGUUAUCCAUCUUUUUGGAGUUGUCAAAAUAUUUCAUUAGCCUGUAUCAACAACUUUUUUGUCAAGAGUGCUGUUGGACCAUUCAAGCGGAACACAUGUAUCGCAAAAUUGGUGCACAUGUUGCUCACUUGUUGCAUUUUAUUUGCUAAUUAAUAUCAGUGWGGAAGACGUCAUUCGUCAAGAUGGUAGAAAACUGAUCGCAAAUGUSUCAAAUAGCCUAGUGACUGAGAUGGACCUAUAGAAUCUGGCACUGAAAUAGAGACAGACGGACCUGAAAUAAGUUUUUCGACAGUGACAGUGGAUGUGCAAGUUCCUUGCGAGGCUUCGUAACCACUCUGGCCGGAGUGGCCCAUGGACUGCGUACCCAGAGGUUGGUGCGUC